CAAUAGCGUAUAUUAAAGUUGUUGCGGUUAAAAAGCUCGUAGUUGGAUUUCUGUUUUAGCAAGCCGGUCCACACUAUGUGUGAGCAUCUGGUUCGGCUAGAGCAUCCUCCUGAGGAACGUUGGUGCGCUUUAUUGCGUGGCACGGAAUUCAGGACUUUUACUUUGAGGAAAUUAGAGUGUUCACGGCAGGCGCUUGCCCUGAAUAUAUUAGCAUGGAAUAAUGAUAUAGGACCCACGUUCUAUUUUGUUGGUUUCUAGAACGAGGGUAAUGAUUAAUAGGGAUAAUUGGGGGCACUCGUAUUAAGACGUCAGAGGUGGAAUUCUUGGAUUGUCUUACGACGAACUACUGCGAAAGCAUUUGCCAAGGAUGUUUUCAUUGAUCAAGAACGAAAGUAAGGGAUCGAAGAUGAUCAGAUACCGU
rnacentral:rRNA from 1 species